UGCCAGCAGCCGCGGUAAUACGGGGGGUGCAAGCGUUGUCCGGAAUCAUUGGGCGUAAAGGGUUCGUAGGUGGAAUUGUAAGUCUGGUGUGAAAGCCCACAGCUCAACUGUGGAACUGCACUGGAUACUGCUUUUCUUGAAUUACAGAGGGGGUUGUGGAAUUUCUGGUGUAGAGGUGAAAUUUGUAGAGAUCAGAAAGAACACCGGUGGCGAAGGCGACAACCUGGCUGUUAAUUGACACUAAUGAACGAAAGCGUGGGGAGCGAACAGGAUUAGAUA
rnacentral:rRNA from 1 species